GCCAGCCCGCCCGGCUGGAGAGCGUGCCCGCCUGGAGCGAGCACGCACGCACACGUUUGGAGAGCACGCUCUGCUGGAGAGCGCGCGUGCACGGCUGGAACCGGCCCCAAGUCAGGCACCGGGACACAGGUGACAGCAGGUCCCGACGUGCCGGUGCUGGUGGGACUGCACUUCCCGUUCCGGCUGCACUUUUCAGAAGCACAUGGACAGAGCGGUUCCAAACAGGCAGAUACCUCGUCACUUGAUUUCCGGAGUCUUGGUAAGGCGGCGGAAGUUUGCCGGGAGUGAGCAUUUUAGAUGUUCGGGCUGCGCUCAGGAACCUCAGGAACCACAGACUGGGUGACGUGGGAACAACGACGUCCACUUCCUCGGUCCCGCAGGCUCGGCGUCCGAGAUCACGGCGCCAGAAGAUUCGGGGGAACCCGCUCUGGUUCCCAGAUGCCGACUUCUCGCCGUGUCCUCACGUGGUGCAGGGCCACGGGCCGGCAGGAGUCUCUGCUGCACGGGCACCACUCCCCCAUCACGCAGGCGCCACCCUCCUGCCAUCACCCGCACAGCCACGCUGGGGGGCGGGUUCAACACGUGAACUUCGAGAGGACACAACUGUUUUUAGUGCAGAGCAGUAGGACGAACAUUAAUUUGACCGAGUUUGUGUGUCCAAAACAGAGUUUGGGAGAAAGGAUAUAUAUUUUAUUGGUACCUAACAAUAAGUUUACUUGAGAUGAGAAUCUUCAAUAAUAUGUGUUUAUCCCAAGAAAAACUUUUCACCUGUAAUAAACUUUUCCUUUGAAACCGGAAUUCAAGGUAAAUGCAUAACACAAAGAACAUGCACAGUGUUUCCUCCAGGUAAACCAGAGUUCCUGUUUGCCCUCAGGUGGGCUCUCUGGUUACUGUUUAUUGUGACUCCUACGCAGGAGUAGAGUCGUAUCCCCAUAGGUUGGGGGGGGGGGGUUAGAUUUCGGGAGCCCUGCAGAUAACGUGGGGACCACCGCCCAUCAUGGUUCGUGAAAGGCCUUUUCAGAAAUCGGCUUCGAGGCGAUCUGGGGAUUUCUGUGCAAAGCCCUCUCUCACCGACGCUCGGCGGCAGAGAUGAGAGGUUCGCCAGCGGCCUUAUGGAAUGUCACGUGGCCUUCUUCCUUUAGGAGUUAGGGAUUUUCUGUGCCUUCAUAAGAGCUCAGAGUGAGCCUAGACGCAUUUAAAAAAUGCAAGGUCGGGCCACGGUCCUGGGCCAUGGCUCUGCCUUAUCGGCUUCAGAUCUGACAUCCUCAGGACUGAUGAAAUUAUUGUCAGCUUAGCCCCCAGAGCCUUGAUCCCACCCUAAAGGAAAAGCUCAAGUGACUCAACCGUGGAAGUGCCCGGAACGUGCAGCCGGACCCACAGUUGAGCACUUCAGGGUGAUUGCUGGUGUUCACUUAUGUAUAUUUUAUUCAGAGAAUAAUUCAGUCACUCUUGACUCAUUCCCUCUAAUUUCAAACUCAGGGUGUAAAUAAUUUGAGUGGUUGUCUCUAUUUUUUUAUUAUUAAUAAAGAUCUUUAAGUUGUUCGAGAGCACAGGGAACCCGGUGGCUCAGUCGGUGGAGUGUCCAACUCCUGAUUUCAGCUCAGGUCAUGAUCUCAUUGUGAGUUCAAGCCCAUGUCGGGCUCUGAGCUGACAGCACAGAGCCUGCUUGAGAUUCUCCCUCUCCCUCUUUCUCUGUCUCUCCCUCUUUCAAAGUGAAUAAAUGUAAGAAAAAGUUAUUUGAAAGCAAGAGUCAGCAAGCCACAUCCCGUGGGCCACAUCGGAUCCGUGGACACUUUUUGUAAACGUGGCUUCAUUAGAACAUGGCUGUGUUCGUUCAUCUGGGCCUUGGUAACCCGGCACCAUCAGCUGUGGUCUCAAACAUGUUCUCAUCCUGCCUUCCGGCCAUAGCAUUCAGAAAACACUCCCUGGACAUUUGCUGUGUACAGACAUGCUAGGGGCUGGGGACACACAGGUGCCUGGAAUGUGGCACCCUCCCGCAUCUGUGGAGAGGAUGAGUAUCCGCUCGUUAUUCCCAGCAUGCUCGCGCCUCCCAUUCCAGGCAGAAGGCCCCGGUAGCCCAGAGAGGCUGUUCUGCGCUCUGCCCUGCAGGAUGCGGGGGUGGGCAGGGGAGCUGGCAGGUACGGUGUCCCUAGUGGAGCACGCCAGGAAAGCAGAGAUCUUUGGGGGGGCAAGAUGCGUGGACGGGGCUUCAGGUGGCUCAGUCUUGGGCUACAAAUCCCAGACAGGCGGGGAGGCCAGGGAGGGGCCCAGGAGUCAGGGGGUAAGUGCGGGGACUGCUGGGCUUCCUUGGAUGUCACGUUGUUGUCAGCCCCCUCGUUCAUCCAUUGGGCUGUUCAGCACAGAUUUGACCACUUUCUAGGCUCGAGAGUCUGAGAGCUAGAACUCACAUAACACAGUCCUUGCCGUCCAGCCACAGACACGUGGGGAGAGCAGCAGGGCACGGGGCCUCAGAGCACAGAGUGGCCGGCUGGUUCUUCCCGCAGAAGGGGACUUCCUAAAUCUCACCGAGCCUCACGCGUCCCAGGAAGAGUAACUCCCCUUCUGAAAUGUGACCUGCACGGGAGUGACAGGUAGGAAUGUGCAGAAGUACAUGUGAGAGGGGCGCCUGGGUGGCUCAGUCGGUUAAGCGGCCGACUUCGGCUCAGGUCACGAUCUCGCGGUCCGUGAGUUUGAGCCCCGCGUCGGGCUCUGUGCUGAUGGCUCGGAGCCUGGAGCCUGUUUCCGAUUCUGUGUCUCCCUUUCUCUGACCCUCCCCCAUUCAUACUCUGUCUCUCUCUGUCUCAAAAAUAAAUAAACGUUAAAAAAAAAAAAUUUUUUUAAAGAAGUA